ACCCAGAGGCUGCUUCCAAAACUGCUGUGCUCGAGUGUGAGAGAGGCUCGUGGAAUUGCAGGUGUAGCGGUGAAAUGCGUAGAUAUCUGCAGGAACACCCGUGGCGAAAGCGGCGAGCUGGAUCACUACUGACGCUGAGGAACGAAAGCUAGGGGAGCAAACAGGAUUAGAUACCCUGGUAGUCCUAGCCCUAAACGAUCAGGACUUGGGGUGCCGCCCGUUCGGGCGUCGUCCCGGAGCUAACGCGUUAAGUCCUGCACCUGGGGGGUACGGUCGCAAGACUGAAACUCAAAGGAAUUGACGGGGGCCCGCACAAGCGGUGGAACAUGUGGUUCAAUUCGACGCUACGCGAGGAACCUUACCUGGGCUCGAAAUGCUAGUGACCAGCUGUAGAAAUACGGCCUUCCCGCAAGG
rnacentral:rRNA from 1 species